CUCAACCCCUGCCCUUCUUCCUCAGUCCCUGUCCCUCUUCCUCAGUACCUGUCCCUCUUCCUCAGCCCCUGUCCCCUUCCUCAGCUCCUGCCCCCUUCCUCAGCCCUGUCCCUCUCAACCCCUGUCCUUCUUCCUCAGUCCCUGUCCUUCUUCCUCAGUCCCUGUCCCUCUUCCUCAGUACCUGUCCCUCUUCCUCAGCCCCUGUCCCCUUCCUCAGCUCCUGCCCCCUUCCUCAGUCCCUGUCCCUCUUCCUCAGCCCCUGUACCCUUCCUCAGCUCCUGCCCCCUUCCUCAGUCCCUGUCCCUCUUCCUCAGCCCUGUCGUGAGGAGGAGCUGAUCUGAGUCAUGCUAGCGGCUUGAGGAGUAAAGGGUGAGACACAAACAAGAAAUGCAGCGUUAUGCCUAGCAUUUCUCUCGGGGAGACCCAAUGUAUUCCCGCAGGUGUCAAAUUCAACAUCAACUCUAUAAAGGAGCCACAAUCCUACAGGUAGUUUACAAUACCGUACGCUUGACACCUACUUAAAUAUACUGUUGAAGUAUAAUUGGGGAGAUGACAUGAAGGUGGUGAAUUUAAACUUGGAAAAAAAACUACACCACGCUAUGCUGCAGUACUACCUUGUUACAGUGUUACAGUUUUCUGAAACAAUGGGAUGGCAGCGAUACAAUGUUGCAGUGUUACAGCUCUGCCAAG